UUUUUAGCUCAUGGUGUGUUGGUGACAUUGAUGAGAAGUAUGUUUUUGUUUCAUUUUGUGAGGUUAAUUUGUUAAUUAUCAGUUUGAAAAUGAGUUAUAAGUUUAGGUUAGCCUAACAUAUUGAAGAUAAUUAAAGAACAUAUAUGUAUAUUAGUUUUAGUCCAGAAUGCCGGCAGAAAAUAUUCAGUAUUCAGAAAAAUAUUGCGAUGAACAUUAUGAGUAUCGUCAUGUUAUUUUGCCUCCAGAUUUGGCUAAACUGGUGCCCAGGCCUCAUUUAAUGACAGAGACAGAAUGGAGAAAUUUAGGAGUACAGCAGAGCCCGAACUGGGUCCAUUACAUGCUUCACACCCCUGAACCGCAUGUGCUUUUGUUCAGGAGACCUUUAAAUGGAACAAUUCAAUAGACUAGAAUAGAGACAUUAACAUAAUAAUGGUGAUACAUUUUGGUUUCUGGAACCAAGAAACCUGUGUAAUGUGACUGAACAAAAUUUGUUCAAAAUGUACAUAUGGAUAAGUUUAAUAAAGUAUAUGACAUUCCUUUUUCAGAAA